UUAAUUUAUUCAAAAAAGACCAAAACCCACUUUUCCCUCAGCGUCGCAUCUCCCCCAUCGCUGCUGGAUUAGCGAUUCCGGUGGAGACAGCACGAGCCGACGAGGAGCGAAGCCAACACCACUAAUCACCUGCUCCUCAGGCGAGACACCGUCGAGACACAACAGCGAGCAACUCCAAGCAACAACAAGAACACACCAAGACCCGCGAGUUCCGAAGCAGAUGCGAAUGCAAGCUUCGGCGCCUUCGGCUCCUCUUUUCUCACUUUUCGAUGAAACAGAAGCAACAUCAACAACCCCGACCACCAGCAAAGUUACAGACUCAUAAAGUCAGCAAGAGGAAAAAAUAAGGCUAUGGUGAUAGUUUUGCUGAGCUCUUUGAGUCGGGCAUUAGAGUAAGAGCCGGUGUCUUGUCGGGAUGGUGAUGCUAAAUAUUUACUGUGAAUAUGUUGGAUGAUGAUCUUCAAUUGUUAAGGAAAAAUUCCAUUGAAAGCUUGCAGAAAUUGCCCGCAAGGCUUAGCACUAGAGGAAAAAGGUGGCGGAUUUGUGGCUUAUCUCACUUGUUCAAGUCCCACACCAUGAAAAGCGAAGCCCGGUUUUUAAGUGGAGAAGGGUAGAGGGGAAGGCCCAUUAUCCACCGUAUUUAGAAGGCUAUGAUUGGUCCAAACGGCUGGUCAUAGACAGAGUCUUGCAUACACUUUCGAGAACUUCAAAAGUAUUCAUGACAAGGUUAUUGGAUUUCUCCUUCUUAACAUGCAAAUGCAAACAUACUGGCUACAGUUUAUUUUAAACUCUAGAACAGUUCUGGAACAAUCUUCAUCUUCCUUAUCUCGAAGGGCACUACAUUGUUUGAUCUACUUGAGUCCUUCCUGACUAUGAAAUCUUCGAAAGUUCUUCGUGCAGGUCAACUUACAUAUAGGGUUGUGUAACUUUUUCAGAAAAGUGGUGGCUGUUCAGGAAAACGACCAUUGCAUUGCCACGGAGCUAAAAAAAACUUUGGUGCACUCAUCAGAUAUAUGCAACGGCAGUAGCUUCCAGUCUUGGGAAACUGAUCAUGGAUGCCCUUAUUUGCUUAUGGAUUGAGAAAAUCCUUUGGACUUGAAGUGUCUAGUGUCCCUCAAUGGAUCACAUGGGAAAAACACUAACUUCUUCCUAAGGCACUAGAUAUUGUUUUUGGCAAUGAAAUGACAGAGCUUGGUAGAUGAUUAUCUCAUAGGAUAUUGAUGCUGAAUAUUCACUGCUUGUAAACUUCAAAAAGUUCGAGGAUGAUCUUCAGUUGUCAUGGAAAAUUUUUAUCGAAAGCUUGCAGAAAUUGCCCCCAAGGCUUAGCUCUAGUGGGAAAAAGUGGUGAAUUUGUAUCUUAGGUCACUUGUUCAGAUCUCAAACCAUGCAAAGCGAAGCCCGGUAUUUAAGUGGAGAAGGGUAGAGGGGACGGUCCCAUAAUCCAGCGAGUUUAGGAGGCUAUGAUUGGUCCAAAGGGCUGGUCAUAGACAGAUUCUUGCAGAGACUUUCGAGAACUUAAGAAGUAUUGAUGACAAGGUGGUUAUACUGUAGUUUGAAAAAUUUCUCUUUUUAUGUAGUUUUACCAAUACUAAAGAUCUUUGGCGCAUUGUUUAGGUUAUUGGAUUUCUGCUUCGUAACAUACAUCUGCAAACUUGCAAGUUACUGGCUAUCUUAUCUUAAACUCCGGAACAGUCCUGGAACAAUCUUCAUCUUCCUUA